rnacentral:rRNA from 1 species
GACUGAACGCUGGCGGCNCUCCUGAACACAUGCAAGUCGAGCGGGAAGCUUUUUAAGGAUUCUUCGGAUGAAUUAAAAAGUGGAGAGCGGCGGACGGGUGAGUAACGCGUGAGAAACCUGCCCUAUACAGGGGGAUAGCCAUUGGAAACGAUGAUUAAUACCCCAUAUGACCACAGUAUCGCAUGAUACAGCGGUGAAAACUCCGGUGGUAUAGGAUGGCCUCGCGUCUGAUUAGCUAGUUGGUGGGGUAACGGCCUACCAAGGCGACGAUCAGUAGCCGGCCUGAGAGGGUGACCGGCCACACUGGAACUGAGACACGGUCCAGACUCCUACGGGAGGCAGCAGUGGGGAAUAUUGCACAAUGGGCGAAAGCCUGAUGCAGCGACGCCGCGUGAACGAUGAAGGCUUUCGAGUCGUAAAGUUCUGUUCUUGGGGAAGAUAACGACGGUACCCAAGGAGAAAGCACCGGCUAAAUACGUGCCAGCAGCCGCGGUAAUACGUAUGGUGCAAGCGUUGUCCGGAAUUACUGGGCGUAAAGAGUUCGUAAGCGGUUAGAUUAGUCAGAAGUGAAAGGCUACGGCUCANCCGUAGUAAGCUUUUGAAACUGUCUAACUUGAGUACUGGAGAGGAAAGCGGAAUCCCUAGUGUAGCGGUGAAUGCGUAGAUUUUAGAAGAAC